GUGACAGCCGCCGCGGUAAUACGUAGGGUGCGAGCGUUAAUCGGAAUUACUGGGCGUAAAGCGUGCGCAGGCGGUUUGGUAAGUCAGAUGUGAAAUCCCCGGGCUCAACCUGGGAACUGCAUUUGAGACUGCCAAGCUGGAGUUUGGCAGAGGGGGGUGGAAUUCCACGUGUAGCAGUGAAAUGCGUAGAGAUGUGGAGGAACACCGAUGGCGAAGGCAGCCCCCUGGGCCAAUACUGACGCUCAUGCACGAAAGCGUGGGGAGCAAACAGGAUUAGAUACCCCGGUAGUCC
rnacentral:rRNA from 1 species